GUUUUCUCAUUACUCUCUGCUUUGUGCACUUUAUGGGGGAGAAAGCUAAAAGAACAAUGGAAAUGCGGUUUUAAGUCCUUCAUGUGCCGCUUAGUGCCUUUUAAGAUUGAACCCAUGCUUUCGAGGACUUGAUCGGGAGGAAAUUGAGGACAUUCACAUGAAAGAUGCUGUUUUGGGAUGAACUGUCAGUUUGUACCGUACUCUUUUGAGAAGGAUUCCUUUUUUUAAAAGUUUACAAAACUUGGCAAAAGCUUCAGAACUAAAGACUGACUAAAAAUGAUGCUAUUACGGUUUUUAAAUCUUACGAUAUUAGAGAAUUGUGUUUGCCACAUAAUAUGGAAAAAUUGUAUUUAAAUCAACCAUACACUGAAAUUUAAGGUCUGUUUCCUGGCAGGCUGGCAGUUUUGUUAGAACAUAUUCUGGUU
rnacentral:lncRNA from 1 species